GCUAGAAGUUUCAGAACAUUUAGAAAGGUAGUUCUAACCUUACAUAUGACUGGGAGAAGUGUCGAGAAUAAGAAAGCAAUAUAUUCCAUAGUACACUAGAACACAGCAAAACAUGAACAACAACAGUCUAAACAUAGCUGAGGGCAAUUGAGCAAAAUGUCCACUAGAUGACAGCAAAUGGACCUAUCACGAACCUACAGGAAGGGUGAGAAAUCCAUAUCUGUUUUUCAACCAGGGUAUUUAGUGGCCUGGAUUUCUCACCCUUCCUGUAGGUUCGUGAUAGGUCCAUUUGCUGUCAUCAGCUCCCCAUAAUGUGUAUAGUAUUGCUUACUAGGUGUGUCCAAUCAAUUUUGUAACUACGCCCUCUUCUAAUUAGGGCUAAUUGGAAAAGUUGUUCAUAAGAGGACAUUGUAUUAUUUCUUUGUACUUAAUUAUAUGAAAUAUCUUGUUCCUUCUUUCUUUUUGAUGACCAAUUGACCCUUUUUACCAAAGAGCACCUUCUGUCUACCAAAAUGUACUAUUGUGUACCUUAGUAGCACUUCCCUUCCUCCUCUUUCUACUAGUUAAGCCUGUGGUCUCCUUGACGAUUGUCAGACUCCAGGACAUUAGUCAGGUCAAGAAGUUUUCAGACUGGAAAGAUGUCUUCUCACUGAGACUGAUGGUCACAUUCCUGGAACUCAAUCACCAGUUCAGUGAACUCUCUUCCAUUGGAACCCAAGCUGACUUUCACAAGAAGUGGAUCCACGCACUGAGCCGCUUAGCCUUUGCCCAGCUCUCGUCAGAAACACUGCAUGACUGUUGGAUGGAAAACAUUCACCUAAAGCUCAACCUGACCAACAGCCUCAGUCAACGCAUACGUCUUCGUCUCUGCCCCUUGGCAGAUUUCAGCAUCUGACAUGGUGGUCAAAGUGGGCGUCCUCACAGGCUCUCAGACUGGCUUCCAGGCCCUGAGGGACACCCAUGUGGGUCUUCUGGACUGGGCAGUGCCAGCAGAUCACUCUGCCUGCCUGAUCUAACCACUGGUGCUGAUGUCCUUCAAGCAGAUGACGGCGUGGACCCAGAAUUUUGCACGUAGCCUGCGAGAGAGGACCGAGGACCUGAAGCGCCAGAGACAACUGACCGAGGACCUCCUGCACCAGAUGGUGGCCAAGCAGCUGUGGUAGCAGAAGCACAUGGAGGCAGAGAGCUACGAGAAGGUUGAGACGAUAGACGAUGCCUACAUGGUGGUGAGGGGCCUGCCUGAGAGGAACGGGGACAAGCACGCUGACGAGAGCCAAAAUGUUGCUGGACUUGGUGCCAGGCGUCAGAUAGGUGGCCAUACCCCACAGCUUCGCGCAGGAAUACACACAGGUCCAUGUGUGGCAGGUAUUGUCAGCUACAAGAUGCCCAGAUACGGCCUGUUUGGAGAUACUGUCAACACACCUCCAGAAUGGAGUCCACCAGCCUGCGUAGGUAUACACACACACAUGCAGUACAGUAUGCAGGCACCUGUUCCCAAUGCUGUGUGUGUGUGUCUGUGUCAGCGUCAGCUCAGAGGAUCCACGCCAGCUCAGCCACCUACCUGGCCCUGAUGAAGGACUGUGUCUACGAGCUCCAUCUGAGAGGAGAGAACGAGGUGAAGAGUAAAGGGAAAAAUAACACAUAUUGGCUGAUCGGACACAAGAACUACAGUGUUCAGAAGGACAGCCUGGUGUGUCACUGGAACCCAAAUCUUGCCCGCAAGAAGAAAACACUGGAGGGGAGCGACAUUUCUAUGGGCAGUAGAAAAAAAUAUACACGGAGUAUACUGAACAUUGGGAGCACCUUCCUUAUAUUGAGAGGGAGAGAGACUGACCGGCGAGCAUUCAGGAUUCUGAAAAUGAACAGCCUGAGUUGAGCAGCACUGAAAUGAAACUUAGAAAAUCAUUUGUGAGAAUUUGCGUCCAGAACUACACUACAAGACCAAAAGCAUGUGGACACCCGCUCGUCGAACAUCUCAUUCCAAAAUCAUGGGUAUUAAUAUGGAGUUGGUCCCCCC